rnacentral:rRNA from 1 species
UACGUAGGUGGCAUGCGUUGUCCGGAUUUACUGGGCGUAAAGGAUGCGUAGGCGGAUGUUUAAGUGAGAUGUGAAAUACCCGAGCUCAACUUGGGUGCUGCAUUUCAAACUGGAUAUCUAGAGUGCAGGAGAGGAAAGCGGAAUUCCUAGUGUAGCGGUGAAAUGCGUAGAGAUUAGGAAGAACACCAGUGGCGAAGGCGGCUUUCUGGACUGUAACUGACGCUGAGGCAUGAAAGCGUGGGGAGCAAACAGG